rnacentral:lncRNA from 1 species
AUGAUUGGAAUGAGCAAGACAUUAGUGAGUUUGUUGCUUUUUGAUGGAACCAAAUGGCAGAACUCUGAAGCGGACAUCGAGCAUCGAACACAGGCCUUGAAGCGUGAGGGUUUCUGGUCAACGAAGCGCCUCAGCCGCCUGACGGAGCCUCAGCGACCCAAAGUUCAUUGGGAUUACUUGUGCGAGGAGAUGCAGUGGCUUUCUGCUGACUUUGCUCAAGAGAGACGCUGGAAGAGAGGCGUGGCCAGAAAGGUGGUCCGAAUGGUGGUGCGACAUCACGAAGAGCUUCGGCAAAAAGAGGAAAAAGCAAAAAGAGACGAACAUGCCAAAAUCAGAAAAAUUGCCUCCAAUAUCGCAAAGGAAAUCCGAUCUUUCUGGAGUAAUGUUGAGAAGGUGGUUCAGUUCAAGCAGCAGUCCAGGCUGGAGGAGAAGCGGAAGAAGGCUUUAGAUUUGCAGCUGGACUUCAUCGUAGGCCAGACGGAGAAAUACUCCGACCUUCUCAGCAAGUCACUGGCUCCCAGCAGUCUGCAUGUUUUCUCUACCAAAACCCCUUAUCUCCACACAGACAGAGACUUCGAGCCUCCGUGUGAAGAGGAAGAUGACGAGGAAACCAUAGAGGUUGAGGAGCAGCAGGAGGGCAAUGAUGCUGAGAGCCAUCAGAGGGAAAUUGAACUACUGAAGGAAGAGAGCAUGUUGCCCCUUGAUCAACUUCUCAGCACUCUCAAAUUACCUCCUCCACAGAUACCUCAUCUAAAUGAAGAGGAAGAGGAGCAGGAGCGGGAGGAAGAGGAAGAUGGGGAAUUUACUGCUAAUGAUGAGGACGCCGAGGAUGAAGAGGACACCAUAGCAGCACAGGAGAAGAUAGAAGGAAAUGUCGAUCAUGCAGAGGAGCUUGAUGACUUGAACAGAGAGGGGGAAAUGAGCAUUGAAGAGCUGCUGGAGAAGUAUAAAGGAGCUUAUGUGUCCGAUUUCGAAGAACCAUCUGGUUCUGGCUCAAAAGCAAGCUCCAAUUUGGAGGUUUCUGGUGACGAGGAGGUGGAGACUGAAGAAGAUGAGAGUGACGUUGAAAGCAACACAUCUUCCUCAGAUUCACCGGGAGACAGCGCUGAAGAUGAGGAAAGCGACAAGGAGGAGAUGAGUAAUGAGGAAGCAGAUGAUGAUGAAGGAAUGGAGCUUUUGCUGAAGGAGGGAGACGGCAGUCUGUCUUCUUCCGGCUCUCGACCAAAGAAAGAAAUCAGUCAUAUUGCUGCUACUGCUGAGAGCCUGCAGCCUAAAGGUUACACUCUGGCUACUACAAAGGUCAAGACUCCUAUUCCAUUCCUGCUUCAUGGCACUUUAAGAGAAUACCAGCACAUCGGGCUGGACUGGUUGGUCACCAUGUAUGAGAAGAAGCUGAAUGGAAUACUAGCAGAUGAAAUGGGUCUGGGUAAAACCAUCCAAACCAUUGCUCUGCUGGCUCACCUUGCCUGUGAAAAAGUGAACUGGGGCCCCCAUCUCAUCAUUGUCCCCACCAGUGUGAUGCUAAACUGGGAAAUGGAGUUGAAACGCUGGUGUCCCGGGUUCAAAAUCCUCACUUACUUUGGCAGCCAGAAGGAAAGAAAGCUUAAGAGACAGGGCUGGACGAAGCCGAACGCUUUCCACGUGUGCAUCACCUCAUAUAAGCUGGUGCUGCAGGAUCACCAGGCCUUUAGGCGGAAGUCUUGGCGUUAUUUAAUCCUCGACGAAGCUCAGAACAUCAAGAACUUCAAGUCCCAGCGUUGGCAGAGUCUGCUGAACUUCAACAGCCACCGGCGACUGCUGCUGACGGGAACGCCUCUCCAGAACAGCCUGAUGGAGCUUUGGUCCCUCAUGCACUUCCUGAUGCCUCACGUCUUUCAGUCCCACCGAGAGUUCAAGGAGUGGUUCUCGAAUCCGCUGACGGGGAUGAUUGAGGGCAGUCAGGAGUACAACGAGGGUCUGGUGAAGAGACUUCACAAGGUGCUGAGGCCGUUUCUUCUCAGGAGGAUCAAGGCUGACGUUGAGAAGCAGAUGCCCAAAAAAUACGAACAUGUGGUGCGCUGCCGUCUCUCUAAGAGGCAGCGAUUUCUCUACGACGACUUCAUGGCACAAGCUUCGACCCGUGAAACUUUAGCCAGUGGACACUUCAUGUCUGUGAUCAACAUUCUCAUGCAGCUCCGCAAAGUGUGCAACCACCCCAACCUGUUUGACCCCCGACCCAUCCAGUCGCCCUUCAUCACACAGCCCAUCGUCUUCUACACUGCCUCCAUAGUGCAGGAUGCACUGGACGUUCCCCCUCUCAAGCGCUGCGAUCUUUCGAUGUUUAAUUUGAUCGGUUUGGAGGGUCGCAUGACCCGUUACCAAGCAGACAACUUCCUGCCACGACAGAAGGUCACCCGGCAGCUGAUCCAGGAGAUAAUUGAGGCUCCGGCACCUACCACGGCAAGAACUAGAGAAUACACACACAGAGAUAUUCUUAACGGAGUAACAUUAGAUCUUUACAGGAUCAUCUUUUUGUGGUUUUACAACUGUCACAAUGCUUGUCUGGUUUCAGUGGUGUGUUCAGUUGCACCCACUCCUCCGCCUCGUCCUUCUGUGCAUCCUGCUCCUCAAACUGCUGUGAGAUCCACUACUCCCAAGCCAAUGCUGACUAUCCGGGCACCUGCUGCUCCUUGUGCAGCCGGUGUUCCAGCCCAUCCGAGUCCAAACCCCAGCAGCGUCCUACCACAAAGGGUUUUACUGAGUCCUGACAUGCAAGCAAGGCUGCCUUCUGGUGAAGUGGUCAGCAUAGCACAGUUGGCUUCCCUGGCAGGCCGACCCGUUUCUUCGUGUCAGGGCAGUAAACCCGUCACCUUCCAACUUCAGGGCAACAAGCUGACUCUGUCGGGAGCCCAGAUUCAUCAGGUCCCAGCCGCUAGUCCACGCCCAGUUCAAGCACCCUCAACAAUGGUGAGCAGCCAGGGAGUUGUGAAGAUCGUUGUUCGUCAACCAACAGGCAAGGAAGGUGUGCCUGUGCCCACACUGGCAAUGGCCCCUUCUCCCCGUGUUGCUCCCCUGGCACCCUCACACCCGCACCCACAGAUCACUGCUGCCCCCCUCAGAAACACUGCUACCCCCCUCAGAAACACUGCUCCACUGCAAAUAGCCCCACGCACUCCCGGCCCCGCUACUGCCCACUACACCAUUGCCCCUCCAAGGUACCCUAGCUCAACUCCUAGCCACCCCCAACCCCCCCGCCCCAUCCUUAAAGUAGUCCAACCGCCUUCAGCCAGCACAGAGCAGCCAGGUGAGAGCACAAGUGAUUUGAAUUCUGUCUGGGUUUUAUUUGAUUUCAGUGUCCGUUAUUUUUGUCAUCUGAAAGAAACAUAUAUUUUUAUGUCUUCUCGGAUUUAUGUUUUGCAUCAUCUUUCUUCUUUGAUUUCUUUUAUUCAACAGUCAUGGCUGGAUAAUACCCUCAAAGACCAGAUCAAAAGCCGACUGGACCUCAUUUCUCGAGUCAAUGAUCGUCAUUGUGGAGUAAAGCCGGUGUACGGUGUAGAGGUUCUUGACUUUCUGACGUUUCUACCUGGUCCUCAUCCAUCUCCUUGGUUAGCCCAAAUACUCGAGGCUUCUCAGAUCUCCAUGCACUGCUGUCAUCCUCCUCCAUCUCUGCACCUCAAACAGGAAGUCUUUUCAUCUGCACUUUCAGCUCACGUUGCUCCUCUGACUCGUAGCCUUCAUCGUAUCCAGUGUAACACGAGGACUCAGUUCCCUGACCUGAGGCUCAUCCAGUAUGAUUGUGGUAAACUUCAGACUCUCCAUGUUCUGCUGCGAAAACUGAAGACGGAAGGGCACAGAGUGUUGAUUUUCACCCAGAUGACUCGCAUGCUAGAUGUGCUGGAGCAAUUCCUCAACUACCACGGGCACAUUUACCUGCGCUUGGAUGGCAGCACACGAGUAGAACAGAGACAGGCUCUUAUGGAGCGCUUUAACGCAGACCGCAGAAUCUUCUGCUUCAUUCUGUCGACGCGCAGUGGGGGCGUGGGGGUUAACCUCACUGGAGCCGACACCGUUGUGUUCUAUGACAGUGACUGGAAUCCGACCAUGGAUGCUCAGGCACAGGACCGUUGCCAUCGAAUCGGCCAGACCCGAGACGUCCACAUCUACAGGUUGAUCAGUGAGCGCACAGUGGAGGAAAACAUUCUAAAGAAAGCUAACCAGAAAAGGAUGCUGGGAGAUAUGGCGAUUGAAGGAGGAAACUUUACUACUGCCUUUUUCAAGCAGCAAACCAUCAGGGAGCUGUUUGAUGUCAACGAUGGUGAGAAGAGGGAUGUGGCAGUGGAGCUGUCCGUACCUCAGUCAGAGGAGGAGGAAGGUGUCACCAAACAAAGCACCACCAUUCUGGAGCAGGCGCUGUGUCGUGCUGAGGAUGAGGAGGAUAUAGUGGCUGCUUCUCAGGCCAAAGCGGAGCAGGUGGCAGAGCUGGCAGAGUUUAAUGAGAACAUACCGCUGGAUGACGGCGGGGAACAAGAGGAGGUGGAGGAGCUUUCCAAAGCUGAGCAGGAAAUUGCAGCUCUUGUUGAACAGCUCACUCCCAUUGAGCGGUAUGCCAUGAACUUCCUGGAGGCUUCAUUAGAAGAUGUAUGCAAAGAGGAGUUAAAGCAGGCUGAGGUAACCCCUCACAAUUCCACGCUAACACUAGCGAAGCAGCAAAAAUGGCGAGCAAUAUCAGCCAUUCAGCCGUACAGUUUUGAGCCAGAUGGCAGUUCAGACGAGGAAAAGGAAGAUGUUAAUAGAUGUGUAUGA